AUCAAUAUCGUACAACUCACGAUACCUUACGAAACAAUAUCGGAAAAAUCGGAACGAUAUUGAUACCCAAAAUUAUAUCAUUACCCAUCACUAGUAAACGUAAAUACUGCAGCUGAUUAUAAAGGAUUACAAAUAGUGAAAAUUGGUUAAUUGUUUUUUGUGAAUAGCAGAAAGUAAAAGAUAGGUACUUAUUUGUAGGCACCCCAACCAGAGCACAGUAAAAAUGUAUACUUCUGCUGCUCUAAUUUGUUUUCGACCCACCACUAGUCAGUUAUACACUAUCAUAUACUAUACAUUAAUCAUUAAUCAAAAAAGAUUAUAGUAGUUAAAUGUUAUUCUUAUGAUAAUUAUAAACAAAUGUAAAUUUAAUAAUUGG